GUCAGUCAGCCAGUGGAAUGGUCUUGUCUCCUACAGUACUGUGACGGUCAGUCAGCCAGUGGAAUGGUCUCUGUCUCCUGCAGUACUAUAACGGUCAGUCAGCCAGUGGAACGGUCUUGUCUCCUACAGUACUAUGACGGUCAGUCAGCCAGUGGAAUGGUCUUGUCUCCUACAGUACAUGACGGUCAGUCAGCCAGUAGAAUGGUCUAGUCUCCUCAGUACUAUGACAGUCAGUCAACCAGUGGAAUGGUCUCGUCUCUACAGUACUAUGACAGUCAGUCAGCCAGUAGAAUGGUCUCGUCUCCUACAGUACUUGACAGUCAGUCAGCAGUAGAUGGUCUAGUCUCCUACAGUACUAUGACGGUCAGUCAGCCCGUAGAAUGUCUCGUUCCCUACAGUACUAUGACAGUCAGCUCAACCGUGGAUGGUUCUCGUCUCCUACAGUACUAUGACAGUCAGUCAACCAGUGGAAUGGUCUCGUCUCCUACAGUACUAUGACGGUCAGUCAGCCAGUGGAAUGGUCUAGUCUCCUACAGUACUAUGACAGUCAGUCAACCAGUGGAAUGGUCUCAGUUUUAACCGUGUUGAGGCAUUCCCCUUACUGGUCUGCUGAUCGAACGAUGUGUGUGACUCCUCUCCGCUCCACCAGGCCCUCACCCACACCUCUUGUCAUCACCAUCUCCCAUGCAGGCAGCUCCAACGCCCAUCUGUCACAAGAACUAACCCAAAACCACAAGGUAAGCAAAAAAGGAAAACCUUGUAAAUGUAAAAGCCGACGACGCGAUAACAACAUAUGUAGGUCACAUCUUUGGAAUCUGCAACACUGGGGCAGGCAGAGGAGCAGAUCGCGGUGGUGGUUCAAUGGCUAUCCCAGGCAGGCAGACUGACUGGACAACUUGUGGCUUGAGGCUAUGGUAGGCAGGAGCUUUUCAUCAGACACACGCAGAGGAACGACCGGGGGAGGAGCUCCAAACAUACAUCUUAGAUUGCUUAUUGUUGUUGAAGUGGGCAGGAGUGGUGGUAGGGGGGGGACGCAGGCAGGUGGUGGUGGUGGGGGACGCCGCCAGGGUUGGUGGUGGGGGGACGCAGGCAGGAUUGUGGCAGGAGGCCGCAGGCAGGGUGGUAGUAGUAGUGGUGGGGCCGCAGAAGCAGGCAGGAGGCCGCAGGACAGCAGGCAGGAGGAGGCGCAGGAAAGACAGCAGGCAGGGUAGGUAGUGUGGGGCCGCAGGAAGCAGGCAGGAGGCCGCAGGAAGCAGGAGGUAGGUAGUGGUGGGGGCCGCAGGAAGGCAGGCAGGAGGCCGCAGGAAGCAGGCAGGGUAUGAGUGGUGGGGCGCGCAGGAAGCAGGCAGGGGCGCAGGAGUGUUGGCAGGAGGCCGCGGAAGCAGGCAGGAGGGCGCAGGAAGCAGGCAGGGGUAGUGGCAGAAGGCCCCGGGCAGGUUGAGGCCGAGGCAGGCGCUAAGACAGACAGGCUCGGUGGGUUUAGUUUUGUGCUGCUUUCCAACAAAGAUCUCAAAGCCUGGGUAUCAGUCACUCCACCUCGCGGUGUUGCCUCUUGAUGCGUCCGCCCGGCAAUUGGACAAGUGCGAUUAGUCUGGAAGGAAGAUAAAGGAACAAAAAGGAGGUGUUAGUACACUGCUUUUGACCGGAGCCUACACACACACACACACACUAUAUUAGGGAUAGGGUGCCACCCUGGUCAAACGUAGUGCACUAUACAGGGAAUAGGGUGCCAUUUGAGACCGUAGAUUAACGAUUGCCCCUACCUUUAACCAUUUGUGACCGCUAGAGUUAACGAUGGCCUUACCUUUAACCAUUUGAGACAGUCACGUAGAGUUAACGAUGGCCUUACCUUUAACCAUUUGAGACGUCACCGUAGAGUUAACGAUGUGCCUUACCUUUAACCAUUUGAGACCGUAGAGUUAACGAUGUGGCCUUUCCUUAACCAUUUUCGACACACUUGGCGUGGAAACUCGUGGUUGCAGGGUUACCCUCAGCAGCUGCCGACACUCGAAGUCACUAAAGCACACAACACACCUGGAAGAGA
rnacentral:lncRNA from 1 species